AGCUUUGUGCAGUGGCAGUAUCGUAGCCAAUGAGGUUUAUCCGAGGCGUGAUUAUUGCUAAUUGAAAAUAAUUUCAUUUGCA
ensembl:snRNA U4 U4 spliceosomal RNA